UUGGUUUGCGUUUAAAGGAAAUAAAUAAAAUUUUCAGUCUCUGCACUGGUAUCUGUUGAUAUCGGGUAUCGACAGAUGCUUAAAGGCAAAGUAUUGACAUCAGUAUCGCUUUUUCACAGAAAAAGCUGGAUCGGUGCAUCCCUAUUGGAUAUCAAAUUCUGUUGUCGAUCAUCGUGGUAGCUCAGUCUGUAUUGAGUAUCGAGCCUAUUACUUAGUAGAUCGAGUUUGAAAUAUUAACAUUUUGUCAACACAACCCAGAGCUGGAGGACGGGGCAGGAAUGGGACCACCCUUACCCACACGAGAGGGGAGAUAGUUAGGACUUCUCCAACAAUGAUCCUGCCUAGCUAUGGCACUCACCAAACUGUUCACCAACUCUCAUCCUGUGGUGUAGAGACAUCAUAUUUUUUGACAAAGAUUACUUUCUCUCCUCCUCCGGGACUACUUUUUCUUCUUGCUACCUGCCUUCACACAGCCACACACAGCUCCCAUUGCUCCCCCUGCAGGCCGGACCUCACCACUAACUGAACUUGUUACAGAAUACGAGGCAAUUUUCGAGCUUCCACGGACAGAGGAACAAAAAUGUCUUUCUAUGUUUUGCUGCCAUUUCUCUUGAUAUAAGUGUUGUCGAAUUUUGUUUUAGUUUUUUGUUUUUCAAUCAAAUGAGGAAAAGUGGACACUGGAUGGACUCUCAAAGCUGUGUAUUGUAAAGCCAAACCUAAUGUGCGUUUCUGUUAUUUAUGUUAAUAGUUUUUAGGACAUGUUUUAGUCGUAUUUUUAUUUUAGUUUUACCGUAUAGUUUUCAAAAAGCCAGAUGAGGACAAAGGGAGUGGUGUGACCAAUUUGCAAAUUAUUAUUAAUAUAAUUUUUAUCAACAUGCCGUUUCUUCAGCUAAAGUGAUUUGAAGCAUUAUGACGUUGGCAUGAGGGUGACCUUUUCUUUAUGUAUUCUGUUGUUUUGUAUAAAUAAACAUGUUAAUUUAAUUUUUUUUGUCAAAUUUUGUUCUUUUGAGUCUCAUCAGAAAGUAAAAUAUAUAAUUUGAACUUAUUAUCCAGAUUAGUGUUUAUAUUGACUUAAAGUAUUUCCAGGUCAUACAGUUAUUAUUUAAGUAUUCUUUCAUUUGCUCUGGC
ensembl:lncRNA